rnacentral:lncRNA from 1 species
UGGGAAUGCAAAGACACAAAAUAAACAUGCAAAUGCGUUUGAUUCAGUUGACGAGAAAAUACUAUGGAUGAAUGAAGUUGUUGGGGUUUACAAUUUCAUCUUAUCCACUCUCUUUUAUCUACUCCUCUUGUUUAAUUCGCUUCGUUAUCUAAUUGUCAUGCAAACUUUCUUGGCCUACCCUUAACCCCAUCCCUCGGCGGAAAAAGCCUAUUACUAAUUACUGGCUUGCUAUCCCUAGCCUCCCCUAGUAACUAGAACCGCAUUACUGAACAGAAGCAAAAACAAUUGAUCAUCCUACCCCCUAUCCCUAGGUGGUAUUGUUUAAUCAAGGAAUUACUCACCAGUUCAUGACAUUACUGUACGUUCCCGUAUCAAUAAAGACAAACAACAAUUAUCGAAUGAGUUAAAUGAUAAAAGCUUUAAGUACAGAUGAGAACCCAACAAUUGAUAAUCAAAGCAUACGACAAGCAUAUAAUUAAACAAGAAUUUCAAUAAAAGAGAGUUUCAAAAGAUUACAUUGCUUCCCCCAACAACAAAAGGGUUUAGUUCACC